rnacentral:rRNA from 1 species
UACGUAGAGUGCGAGCGUUGUCCGGAAUUAUUGGGCGUAAAGAGCUUGUAGGCGGUUUGUCGCGUCUGCUGUGAAAAUCCGGGGCUCAACCCCGGACUUGCAGUGGGUACGGGCAGACUAGAGUGCGGUAGGGGAGACUGGAAUUCCUGGUGUAGCGGUGAAAUGCGCAGAUAUCAGGAGGAACACCGGUGGCGAAGGCGGGUCUCUGGGCCGUAACUGACGCUGAGGAGCGAAAGCAUGGGGAGCGAACAGG